UUAAGUUCAGCGGGUAGUCCUACCUGAUUUGAGGUCAAACGACAUAAGACGUUUGUCCCAAAGGGACGGUUAGAAGCAGUCAUGACUUGAUUAUAACAAUGCUCAUCUUAUCACAUUGUGUGUGAUCAAGGCAGAUCGCUAAUGCAUUUAGGAUGAGUCGUAGCAAGAUCCACAACAACAUCCAAAUCCAAUUUCAAACA
rnacentral:misc_RNA from 1 species